UAUCCCAGGAAAAUCCCAUAUUUUCCUAUGUGUUGAGUUGUCUAUUCGUUUCUAAAUUCGUUACGAGUUGUUAUGUUAUCCCAGGAAAAUCCCAUAUUUUCCAAAGUAUUGUGAUUAGUUCUUAGUUUAGUUUUCAAUGUACUAGUAAUUACCAUACUUAUAGCAUUAGUUAAGUAGUCUGAUAUCUUAGUUAACCUACAUUCGAAUAUUGAUUACCUACUAUACUUAGUUGUAUUUUCGAAUAUUUGGAUUCACUCAGAAACGUAGAUUAACAGUAUUUUCGAUGUUCUGGUGAUUUCCAAAAGAGUACAUUAGAUGUAUUUUUGAAUCUCUGGCGACAUUCUAAGGCGGAUGUAUUCGAAACUCAGUAGAGGUCCAGAGGCGUACUUUCGAAUUAAAUUCGAAACUCUGGUGACACUCAAGGCGUACACAAACAGUAUAUUCGAAGUCUUGGCGUCAUCCAAAGGCGUUAUUUUGUAUUCGUAAUCCUAAUUCUAUUCACAUUCGUAUUCGUAAUCCUAAUUCUAUUCGCAUUCGUAUUCGUAUUCAUAUUCGUAUUUGUACUAUUCGUAUUCGUACCGUCCUAUUGGUUAUCGUUAUAUUCGUAUUCUUAUUCGUAUUUGUACUAUUCGUAUUCGUACUAUCCUAUUGGUUAUCUUUGUAUUCAUAUUCGUAUUCGUAUUCGUACUAUCCUAUUGGUUAUCUUUGUAUUCAUAUUCGUAUUCGUAUUCGUACUAUCCUAUUGGUUAUCUUUAUAUUCGUGUUCGUAUUCGUAUUCGUACUAUCCUAUUGGGUAUAUUCGUAUUCGUAUUAGUUUAUGAUUAGUAUGAUUUCUUUUGCAAAAUGUAAUAUAGUUAUAACACUUUUUAAAGAAAUCUGUAUUUAGUCUAACAGUUUACCCUGCAAGUCGAACCAUUAGUUAUCACAAUUUUCGAUAUUAGAAACAUACAUAAAUAAAACAUUUGAGCUGAAAAUCAGUUUAAGUACAAGAUUUCCUUGUACUUUUGCUUGUAUUCCCCCCUGAAAACAUUUGAAAAACACGGAAAAAGGGUAGGGGUAUGAACUCACCGGUUGAGGAAUGCGUUGGUUUGGAUUCGAAACGUCAGUUCUAGGUUUGAAAACGCACAAGAUUCCUAUGUAUGAUGAAAAGAUACAAAUUUGUAUCUAAUUAGGACUUGAAUAAUUUAUUUGAUGAGGACAUAUGCUUCUAGAUGCGAAAACACUUCAUUACAAGUGUUUGGAAGGACCCGGGUGGCAUUUGAGGACACAUAAGGCUUGGAUAUGGAGUUUACUCUUCAAGAGUAAACUCUUAAGAGUGUUUUCAGACCUAAUGACAUAUUCCCCAUGCGUUUACGGCCAUAAACUCAUGGUGGGGUACUUUUGGUUGCUAAAUGGCUUCAUAUCACUUGGAUAAAUUAGCUAGGAUCACAUCUAGGGCAUUGGAAUGGAUUUAUCUCACAUAUGGACCAUUUAUUGGAGUUUACGAAAGUAAACUUGGAGUUUACGACCGUAAACUCCCCUCACACUAAAGCCUUAAUGUUUUGGUGGUCUUUAAUUAAUCACAUGUGAUUCCAUGCUAUUUCACAAGUCUAGGGGUGAAAUUUAGGCACCAUUUGACAUGGUUUUAGGAGUUUACGGCCAAUGACUCCACCUUAUGGACGUGAACUCCUUAGGGGGUUGAUUUCUUUAUGUUUUAGGCUUCUAAGUUGUUUGUGGUUGCUUCUAGAUUUUUGUUCAAGGCUUAGGAGGUGUGUAAGUGGCAAUUUAACACCUUAGAAGGAGUUUACUCCCAUGGAGAUGAGUUUACGGCCCAAGCAAGUUUUUGGGCAGUAAAAUCAUGUUUACUCCUCUAAAUUGAUAUUCAAGGUGUUCUAAGUCCGAUUCCAUAAUUCUACAAGCCAUAUCUAAGCCUAAAUGGUGUUUUGGAAGGGUUUUAAGGCAUAAAAACCCCAUUUAUGUGUGUUUACGGCCUAAGCAUGCUCCAGGGCCGUAAACACAUGAACAAGGUCCUAAAUCAUGGUUUGAACUCGAAUUUGAAUGCUAAGGAUGAUAUACUAGGAGUUAAGGAAGAUACCUUGAUGAUUAGAAGCCUUAAUUUGAUGAUUUUGGACCCUUAGAGUUGAUUUGAGGAGAGAUGUUAGAGAGAGAGAGAGAGUAGAGAGAGAGAAAAAGCUUCAAAUGGAAGCUUAAACCCCUUUAAAUAGGUUCCAAGAUUUGGACACGGUGGAAUUCUACCCGAUACCGACGUUAAACGGGGCUUUUGGUCGCACCCGAUUAAGUUAUCGUAAUCCGGCGGGGUUGAAUUUAGAAAUUUUCACAUUAAUGAUUUUGGGCCAUUUUCAUGAGUUUCUAAGGGGUUUGGACACUCAUGAGAUUAAAAUAAACAUAUAACUUUAAAUAAUUUAGCCCAAAAAACGAAAUCGGAACGAAUCGCUAAAGACGGGUUUUAUGGGCGGAACGGGUUUCGGCAAUGGACAACUUCGGGUUCUUACAUUAUCCCCCCGUUAGAGGGAAUUUCGUCCUGAAAUUCUAAGAUUAAGAUACAGAUCAUGAAAUGAAAAGGGAUGUGGAUGGAUCUGCUGCUCCGGGUCUUCACGCUCCCAAGUGGAAUCGGGUCUCCGCUAGACAUUCCAGUGAACCCUCACUAUCGGGAUACGACUAUGUUCGCACAUUUGAUCUCUCAAUUCAUGAUCUCAAUUGUUCUUCCAUGGGGGUUCAGACUUUCGUUGACUUCGGUCUCACCAAAGGAAUUACUAGGGUUUCAUUGGGUAAGCGUUUCUAAGGAUUCGAGACGUGGAUGACAGAAUGGAUACUGCUAUUCCCCUGAGAUAGUUGAAGUCUGUAGUUCUCGAUUCCGAUUAUGGUGGGGAUUUCAAAAAGUCCGAUGUAUCACGGGUGAAGUAUUUCGCGCUUCCCAAAGCAUAUCAUGCUUUUCUGGGAUAAGGUUUUCAAUAGGACUCAAGCUCCAGCAAGAAGGCACAUCCUCACGGAGGUUCGGCUACGAGGUAGUUUCCAGGGAUUAGGUUGAUACGAGGCUUGACUAGACGUUCGGAAGGAAUUCUCGGAGAUCUUCGGGAAAAGCAUCGGGGAAAGAGUUUCAGACUUCCCGUUUCCCGAUGAUCACACGGACAAGGAAUGCAUGAGAAAACUUUUUAAGCUUUGAUGCACGAUGAUGUGAAGGUUGGAUUUAGGUUUGAUGUCGAAGAUCAUGAGAGCCGGGUCAGAGGGAAGAUUCAGAAGAACGACCCAAGAAUAACAGCAUGAAUGAGACUCGGUCAUUACAUGCCAAAGAUCGCAUCAAAACUUUUCAUGAAAAGUUUACCAUUAGAUCGAAUGGAAGGAAUAAUCGUCCGAAUUGAGGAUACGAUCUAUGGGUAUGACGUUAUCAUUCUCUUUCUCACUCGUUAGCCAUCUUGACGGUAUACGUUUCGGUUACUAACGAAGGACUAAGUUUAGAAAGGUGAUUGAAUGAAUAGUUAGCAAAUUUUCUUUCGGCAUUAGAAUUGAAAAGGAUCACAGGCAUAAGAUUCAUCGAAGAGAAAUAUACCUGUGGCAACGGUGGGGUCUGCGGCUGUCCUUUCUUGUCCCAUAGUUAAGACUCUCCCAGUGUUGCGAGAUGUUACUGCCUUAGGGCAGUUUUGCUUAUAAUGUCCAACUUCUCCACAACUGUAACAGGUCUGGCCGAUACCAGCUCCAGAAGCUUGACUGGUUGAUUGGAUUGGAGUUUUGCAGCUUCGCGCGAGGUGACCUUCCUGGCCACAGCUUUUACAAAACUUUGCACGACAAGGGCCAGGGAUACGAUGGUGGUAACUGCAUUGGUUACACCACGGGAGGAUACCGGCAUAUUCGGUGACAAGUGCUUGGGAUGAGGAACCGACAAUAGAAACAGCAGCAGGGGUAGUAGCAGCGUGGACUGCCACUAUUUUCUGUUUCUCUGAGGGCUGCGGGGAAGACUAACUCUUCUUCUUCUUCUUCCAAAACUUUCUUUUCUCGCCACUCUUCUCUGUUGGCUCAGGAGUGGUGGCUGCUUCUUCUUGUUCAUCAAAGUGAUCGAUCAGGGUUUGCGCUAGACAUUUGGUGCUGUCAUAGGUAUCCGGCUUCGCAGCUAAAACGUUCCCUUUUGUUGGCUGGGUCAACCCCCAGAUGAACCUCCCAAUCUUUUCACUCUCCGGGGUAACCAAUCCAGGACAGAGAAGUGCCAAGUCAUCAAAUUUGGAUGCGUAGGCGGCGAUAUCGGAGCCUUUCAUCUUCAGUUUCCAGAGUUCAUUCUCCAGCUUCUGUAUUUCACCCCGAGGGCAGUAUUCUGCAAACAGAAGUUCCUUCAUAACUUCCCAACCCAUAGCAUUUGAUACAGGUAAAGUUAACGAUUUGACUCGGCCAUUCCACCAAGUCAAAGCUUUAUCUGUGAACCUGCAGGCGGCGAAUUUUACCUUGUCAGACUCUGAACAGGCACAAAUCUCGAAGAUAGAUUCGAUCUUCUCUCACCACCGAGUUAGAGCAAUGACACCCCCUGUGCCAUCGAAGAAUAUGGGUUUUGCGUUCAUAAAGUCCUUAUAGGAACACUCCUUCUGGUGUCCCUGAUUACCUUCCUGGUUUUGGGUUUGGGUACUAUCCCCUGAACCACUGGAGUUUCUGUGGGACAAGACGGCUGCCACCGCGGCGGCAACAGUUGCCUGGAACACGAUAGGAUCAAAUUGGGGAGGAGGAGGUGGUGGCGGAGGGUUGUUAUUCUUUGAUCUGGGUCUUUUCCUCGGAGGCAUCUUGAUCUAAAAUAACUAGGAAAGAGAGGAUCAUAAGUCCUCUGAAUUGAAUCAAGAGAUAUGGAACAGGGGAUAUCUCAUUAAGACAGAUAUUCUGUUAAGCGAUAAAACAGGAAAGGGUUAUCAAAACAGAUAAUUUAUCGCUAAAGGAAUGAUCAAGAAACAACGCUCGAAUGAUGAUUUCUACAACGAAUUAGCUCGAGAAAUACUCCCAUAGUAUUUCAUGAUUCGCUGCAACGACGACUCGUUGUUUGGGGUAUUGGGUAAGUUUUAGGUAUGCUGCGUACCACAGUCACUCCCAAGCACAUGUUGGCCGUGUCUCGAAUGAAUAUAGUUGGCCAGACUAUAUUGACCCUAGACACGAGUACAUAACUACCCAGGUUUAACCGCAGCGUACAACACCCAUUUACUUAUGUUUUGUUCUACUUGUAGUUACUGAUUUCAACGGUCAGGUAUACUUGUAUACUUUCGAAAAUACUUAUAUUUUAGGGUAUACUUUUAGUUUAGAGCACUUAGGCCCGUUAAUGUUUAUAGUCUUAUACCACGUAAGCUUUGGUAUACUAGUUCACUAUAAACAAGGGCUCUGAUACCAAUCUGUCACACCCCGAAAACCAAAGGCGGAAACACUUCCGGGGCGGACUCCUCGUUGAGUAUCAAAUCCAAUGUACAUAGUAAAACAGUAAACACAAAACAUUACAUUACAUAAAAUUGUUUACAUCUGUUUGAAAGAAAAGUUAUACAAGUGUUAUAUACAUAUAUCAUAUAAACAAAAGCAGAGACGAGUCUUCUAAUGAUCCGUCUUCUCCAAAAGAUGGCGGUGUACCUGUCUAAUGCUGACCUGAGAAUACAAGCAGUUUGAAAAUCAGCAUAAAGCUGGUGAGUUCAUAAGCAGUUUAGUUUUGAAACGAACGAGUUUCCUUUGUUUUCUGAAAAAGUUGUUAGUCAAGAAAAUCCCAUAUUUUCUUAUGUAAAACAGUUUAGUUAUCAUUUGUUACCAAUUCGAUUACGUGUUGUAUGUUACCCUAGGAAAAUCCCAUAUUUUCCUAAUAGUUUAGUUAUUCAUUUGUUACUUCAUUCGAUUAUGAGUUGUUAUGCUAUCCCAGGAAAAUCCCAUAUUUUCCUAUGUGUUGAGUUGUCUAUUCGUUUCUAAAUUCGUUACGAGUUGUUAUGUUAUCCCAGGAAAAUCCCAUAUUUUCCAAAGUAUUGUGAUUAGUUCUUAGUUUAGUUUUCAAUGUACUAGUAACUACCAUACUUAUAGCAUUAGUUAAGUAGUCUGAUAUCUUAGUUAACCUACAUUCGAAUAUUGAUUACCUACUAUACUUAGUUGUAUUUUUGAAUAUUUGGAUUCACUCAGAAACGUAGAUUAACAGUAUUUUCGAUGUUCUGGUGAUUUCCAAAAGAGUACAUUAGAUGUAUUUUUGAAUCUCUGGCGACAUUCUAAGGCGGAUGUAUUCGAAACUCAGUAGAGGUCCAGAGGCGUACUUUCGAAUUAAAUUCGAAACUCUGGUGACACUCAAGGCGUACACAAACAGUAUAUUCGAAGUCUUGGCGUCAUCCAAAGGCGUUAUUUCGUAUUUGUAAUGCAAAUUCUAUUCGCAUUCGU
rnacentral:lncRNA from 1 species